GCCGCUGUGGUGGAAUUGGUAGACACGACAGACUUAAAAUCUGUUGAGCAGUAAUGCUCGUGGCGGUUCGAGCCCGCCCAGCGGUACAA
rnacentral:tRNA from 1 species